rnacentral:lncRNA from 10 species
CAGUAAGUAACUGAACUUAUUUUUAUUUCCAGCUACCCAUUUAAGAGGUUUUUACUUAUUUCUUUUUUUUUUUCCUCAGAGAUCUGGGUUCCUGUGGAAGAAGACUUUCACCAGAGUACACAGCAAGAGUCCCUUUAAACUUCAAUCCUUGGCUGUUUAGACUGAGGGAAGCAUGAAGACCUGGAGUUCAAACCCCCUUGGGAGUGAAUAACUUCUUGGUCAACUUACGAAUAAGACCCUAAGCCAGUGAAGAUCCUUGUUAAAAUUGACGGGAAUCUAGAACUGGUUUUUAAAAAAGAAAAAAAAAGAGAGAGAGAGAAGCAAAUUAUGUCUUCAAGACCAGCUACAGUGGUGAUGUUGAAGUUUUUUCCACUAAACUUCCUGUUGCAAUUUACCCCAAGAAAUAUGACCAGUGCAAAUCUUGAAUGAAGAGUUUCUAAAAUGUAUUACAUAAAGUAUGUGGAGCUGAAGAAAGCAAAAGGUUGGACUAUAAUGGAUGCUCUUUUGUGCCUCCAAGAUACACCCUUCAGUUCUGAGGCUUUCAUUUGUCCGCCCCCUGAGAGUAUUGCUGCCUGAUGUCUUUCUCCUGAGCCUUGAGACUUAUGAAUUGUCCUUGGGCAAAGGGAGCUGCCUUACCAGAAGAAACCUUCUUUCUCUAGGACACUCCUUAUCAAAUGGCUAUUGAUAUGAUAGUAUAAAUGCUUGUGCCCCUAUAUCAAAGCAGAAUUCUAAAGAACCAUUUUAGCAGAGCUGCCCAAGAGAUUGGCCAAGGCCUCCUUGAGACUGUUUCACAGUUCAAGUUCUUUUUCUCAAUCUUAAUUUUUUUUAUUUCUCAAUAGGUAUUAAUCCUGAGAACUCUCCUUAAUAAAAUUAUUAUGUGCAA